rnacentral:rRNA from 1 species
UUUCUAUUAUAUAUAUAUAUAAUUAAUAGUAAAAUCUGCUCAAUGAAAAUUCAAUAGCCGCAAAUAGUGCUAAGGUAGUAUAAUAAUUUGUCUUUCAAUUGAAGACUAAACAAAAGAUUUAACAUUUUAAUUAAUUUUAACAUUUAAAUCUAUAAAUUUUUUUAAUUAUUAAAAAAUAAUUAUUUUCUAAAAAGACGACAAGACCCUAUUGAACUUAACUUCAGUUAAACUGGGGCAGUUGAUUAAAUAUAUCUUAGUAGUAAUUAAUACUAAUAAUGACCUAAUCUAAUUAAUUCAAAAAUUAAGUUACCAUAGGGAUAACAGCGUAAUAAUUCUUAAAAUUCCAUUUAAAAAAAAAAUUACGACCUCGAUGUUGAAUUAAUAAACUAAUUUACGCAAUAGUAAAAAAAGAAAGUCUGUUCGACUUGUAAAAAAUUACAUGAUC